rnacentral:lncRNA from 1 species
AAAAAUAGACGUUUCUAAAUCCUUCAAGCUGGGAGCUGCAUGCCACCACCCGGCUCCGGGAGCUGAGACCGAGGGGAGCUGCUGGAGGGUGAGGCCCACAACAGCAGCCAGCCAGGUGGGGGGCAGCCCCAGCGCCCCGUGCACAAACCCAGCAGUACUGCGUUCGUGCAGAGCUCGGGCUGAGCCUGGGAACAAAGUUCUUACACGCUAACAGCGACCGAGGGAAAUAACAACAUCCAAUCUGUGUUCGGAGUGCGCUCCCCGGGCUAAAGGGCACUCCGUUCAUUACUGCGUUACGAUUCCUGUUGCUGCUGGGUGUUGAUCAUUUGUGCUUGGAAAUCUCGUUCAUUUGUAAGGGCAUCUGAAGGCUGGGGAGUUUUGUUGGGUGAUUUCCAGUCCUACUUACACCUCAAGGGGCUGAGGUGCCGCCAUUGAGGUUAACGGUGCGGAAGAAUACAAAAAAAUUUCAUUGAGGAGGAUUAUAAAAGUUACUAGCUGGAACAUUAACAGAAGAGUAACUUGUAAAAAAUGCAAUAUUACAAUAUUCACAAGGACGGUAGAGCGUGGUAAAGCUAUAAAAUUCAACAUUAAAAUCUUCUACAGCCUAGAUAACCUAGUUAACAAACAUGGCAUCGGAACUACUUUCUUUCCCGGGGCCGGGGGCGGCGGACCCCCCCACGGGCCGAGGACGAGGCGAGGGACACGCGGCCCCCGCUCGGGAGCCGACGAACUUUUUGUCAUUAGCAAAGUGCGGGCAGCGAUUUGCCUCGUCCGAAAGCGGGAGCGGGGAGCGCCGGCUCGUUCCGUUUGUCACCGGCACCAAACGCCCGCAUAAAUAACAGCCGGUAUUUAUCGCCGCUCCGACCGAAUUCCGCCAGGCAAAGCGCUGGGAGCGCUUUCAAAAAAAAAAGCCCAAAAACCAAAAACACGGAGGGGAACCGGACAUCGUUAUCACUUUUAUCACCGGUGCUACUAAUGAUGUUCUCCUGCAAACACGUCGGCCUCAGAGAGAAAUAGACGCCGCGCCUCCAAACCGGGCGCGGAUUGCGGGCCGCUGCGGAGCGCCGUACGGCAGCAAAACUUCGUCCUCCUGCGGGAGGGCAGCGCGCCCCGCUCCGUACCGCCGCCUCAACGCCGCCGCAUCCUCCGGGCUCCGCGCUCCGUGUCGGGGCUGUCGAGCGUCGGGAAGCAGAGAGUGUGAAAGGGCCGGGAGAGAGGAGCGGGAGGGAAUCGCUCUGAGCGGCUGCGGUUCCCCGGGGAGUUGGCAGACAGUUUGUGGAGAUGUUACUCCGGAGUUUCAGACUAUGAUAAAUAUGAUAAUUUGUAUAAAAUUUGAAUGGGUUCUUGUUUUCAGGGAGAAUGCCUCCGAUGAUGAAUGUUCGUGAUUUUCAGAUAGAUGGCUGAUAAAAAGUGUAUUGAAUUGUUGAAAGCGAUUUUAAUUUUAAUUCUCUACCUGCAGAUGUCUGAUAAUAAUAAUGUCUCCUAAUAAAAUAGGAAGGUGUCAGUUUAAGCAGCAGUAUUUCGCUUCACUUCAUCCUUCCCAUCCCCAGACUGUGGCAACAUUAACCUCUUCUUAUAAAAAGGCACAUAAAAUUAUUAUAAUUACAGAGUUAUUAAUUUUAAAAAGAGGGUUAGCAGGAUUUUUUAUUAUUAUUAAUAGAGCUCGCACAGUACCCCCGCAAGUAAAUCCCCGUGUGAAAUGAUGGAUCCGAUCGCUAAUUCUAUUAUUAGAUAUUGCCUAGGAAUUGCCUUUCGGGUUUUUAAUUAGAGUAAUUGAAACUAGAUAGAGGCGGGGCUAAUUAUUUUUAUUUUCCCCCUUUGUUAUUAUUUAAAAGUCAUCGAUAACGCUCCCCGCAUUCACAUCUCGGCUUCGGAAGGAGACCCGCAACAAAGCAACAAAGGGAGCGCGGCCGGCACUCCGCAGCCGGCGGUGUGCGGGGGCUGCCCGGGGCUGCAGGAGAGCAC